rnacentral:piRNA from 1 species
UCCUGGAACUGGAAUUACAGGCAGGUGUA